GUUGAAACACUAGUUCCCAUAAGUUCAUCAAAGUUAAGCAACAUCAAGUCUGGUCAGUAUCUUGAUGGGUGAUCGCUUGGGAAUACCAAGUGUUGUAA